CUCACACGGUAUGGAUCCCUGUAGUGUCCUCAUUAACAAGAAGGCUCUUGCUUUGCAGCUCUCAGCUCCCGGUAUCUUGAGCUAAAUAAAGCUGCGCUCAUCCAAAACUCCCAACCCUGGGAGCUGGGGAGAUGGUCCAGUUGCCCUCGCUAACCUGAGUGAUUCUGAAACUACACAAGCUGCAUUUGGGAGAAGGAGAAGUGUCUGGGAAGGGGCCCCAAAGAGAGGAAGAAGAACAGACGGAGACAAAGGGGAACUGGGAAGGAGCAAGUGCGGAGGUGAUCCUGGAGCUGCUGAGGAAGGAAGAUGGGAUUUGAUUAAAAACAAAGCCAUGAGAAUCCACAAGACCACAUGCUGUGCCCCUGCUCAGAUCCCUUGGGAGUCUCCCUGUCUCAGGCAGGAUCAGUGAGCUCGCCUCAAGUUCUUUUGCUGCAGAAAUGCACGGAAAAUAUGAGAGGAUCCUGAAAGAAUUCUCUGGCAGAGAGCACAUCUUGUUUUCAGCCGGCAUUUGUUCGUCGUCGUCACUACCUACAUUCCCCCGCCAUGUUCACAUAUGAAAACAAUUAUUUCUCAGUUCAGGAAGUCAGUUUUAAUCGUUAGUUUGGCUUCAAAGGAUCCAGCACCCUUUACAAGGUCAGACUACUCCAAAGACAGCUAGGCAGAAACUCUGGCCUGGGAGUAAGCUGGGCUUUCCUGCUUGGAACUUGUGCUUGAGUUCUGGAAAUGAGGAAGAUGUCCUUUCUGACAUGGAAGGGAACAGUGUGUCCCUGAGUGCUGGGGAGACACUGUCAGAGGAAACCUCUCUCUCUGGAUGACUUCCCUCAGUCUUACCUGCAUUCUGUGUUCAACAAGUUCCACUGAAGGGACGCGAGCCCCGCACAGGGGUCAGGGCCCUGAUUUCUUGCCCCAGAUGUGUGACCCUAGGCAAAUCCAUCAGAAUCUAGGAAUUUCUGUUUACUCAGGUGUAUGUAGGGUUUCAACCGGUCCUUCUGCUAAGCAUACAUGCCUUCUGUUUUCCUUAUUGGCUCUGCACCAUGACAACUGUAAAUUAAUCUUUAUCUUCAGACAGCAAUAGAAUUAGUAAUAUGAACAUUUUGCUUUGAUGGAUACAACAGAAAGCCUUCACAUCUGUGCACGUGGUGGGGGGUUAAUAUAACGGAGAACCCUACACACCGGGGUCUUUCAGAUUGUAGUGGGUGAAAGAAUCAGCUUGUUGAAAAUGCAUCGAGAGAUUGGCCCUGAGAAUAAGCGCAGACAUCUGCACCACGUGGGUCGUGAAUGGAGGGGAUACUUACAGACAUCCAAGCCUUGGCUGGUCACCCAAGCUGUCCCUGCACAGCUGCACCCCCUCUUCUACCCAACUCGAGUGAUUUUGCUGCUGCUUCUAAUAGCUAGGAAACCAUCUUGAAAGGCUUGAAUCUGCAGGGGAAGGGGCCACCUGGCCCCAGGUUAACAGCCAGCUAGAGUGCUAAAGAGGGAAAUAAAAAUUAAGAACAUC
rnacentral:lncRNA from 1 species